rnacentral:rRNA from 1 species
GACGAACGCUGGCGGCGUGCUUAACACAUGCAAGUCGAACGGUGAACCUCUUCGGAGGGGAUCAGUGGCGAACGGGUGAGUAACACGUGGGCAACCUGCCCCCGGCUCUGGGAUAACUCCAAGAAAUUGGGGCUAAUACCGGAUGUUCACCGCUUCCCGCAUGGGUGGUGGUGGAAAGGGUUUCCGGCUGGGGAUGGGCCCGCGGCCUAUCAGCUUGUUGGUGGGGUAGUGGCCUACCAAGGAGACGACGGGUAGCCGGCCUGGGAGGGUGACCGGCCACCCUGGGCCUGAGAGACGGCCCAGACUCCUACGGGAGGCAGCAGUGGGGAAUAUUGCGCAAUGGGCGGAAGCCUGACGCAGCGACGCCGCGUGGGGGAUGACGGCCUUCGGGUUGUAAACCUCUUUCAGCAGGGACGAAGCGCAAGUGACGGUACCUGCAGAAGAAGCACCGGCUAACUACGUG